GACGAACGCUGGCGGCGUGCUUAACACAUGCAAGUCGAACGGGCCCGCUCUCUUUUUUGGGGGUGGGUUGAGUGGCGAACGGGUGAGUAUCACGUGAGUAACCUGCCCCCUGCUCCUGGAUAACUGCUUGAAAGGGCGGCUAAUACGGGGUGUGCCGGCUGGUCCGCAUGGGCCUGGUCGGGAUAGUUUCAUCUUCGGGUGUUUCGGUGGGGGAUGGGCCCGCGGCCUAUCAGCUUGUUGGUGGGGUGAUGGCCCACCAAGGCGGUGACGGGUAGCCGGCCUGAGAGGGUGGGCGGCCACACUGGGACUGAGACACGGCCCAGACUCCUGCGGGAGGCAGCAGUGGGGGGUAUUGCACAAUGGGCGGAAGCCUGAUGCAGCGACGUCGCGUGAGGGAUGGAGGCCUUCGGGUUGUGAACCUCUUUCUCCGGUGGUGAAGGCCCUGUCCGUUGCGGCGGGGUUGACGGUAGCCGGGUAUGAAGCGCCGGCUAACUACGUG
rnacentral:rRNA from 1 species